rnacentral:lncRNA from 1 species
ACAUCUAACAUCUAUCCAGCAUCUAUAGACAAUCGAAUAUCUGAAUUGGUCGAUCUCCGACUUCAGCUAUAGACAUACUUCAGUCUUCACCAAUCUUAUUUUACUAAACACUGUUGACUCCAACCGCUUCUUUCCUUCGACACCCAUCCCCAUAGGACCACGCCAAAGUCUCAAUGAAGGAAGCCGAUCCAACUUAAUCCGUGCCCUUACUUCGAAAUUUAAAGAUGCCUACGAUGGUUCUAGGAUAGAUAAGGCAGGUGUAACCACUCUAUCUUAAAAAUUUCAAUGGAAAAUCCCAUCAUAUUGCACCUAACCUGGC